CUGACAUCUCGUGCUAGUCUUUCUACUUAAAAUAGCUCUGUCACCUUCUGGAGUGUUUUCCUAAUUUGCAAACAGCCCCCAUGGUGACUUCAGCAUCUGAUGUGCAAUGACCACAGGGUUCAGGGGAAGGAAAGUUUUACUUUUCUGAAGCUCUUCCUCAUGGUCACCACCAUCUUCUUCUGUGGAAUCCUGUUCAGCUCCUGCUGUUCCAUCUGCCAGACGCCCAUAUACAUGCUGUAAUAUUGCGCAUAUGCAAGGACAGCAC